GGCCCGGCUCCCGCGGCCUGGUGGCGGUCCUGUCCCCAGCGCCCUCUGCGGCCCCGCAGGCGGGGAGUUCGGGGCGGCGGGGGUUGGGCGAGCCGAGGCGGCGGGAGCAGGACCAUGCGGUCCGGCCCGCGGGGCUCGGCGGUUCGCCCGCGCACACACCCUGCACGGAGCACACCCAGCCCGGCCUCCCUGCCCCGCUGCACGGAGCAGCUUCCACUCCCGCGCCGCGGGGAGCGGUGCCGGCCCUGUCCUGCACACUCGCACACACAUGUUGGCACACGCUCCCCGGCCCCCUCUGCCGCGGGCUGCACCGGCAGAAGAACAGAGCAGUUCAAGUCGCAGGUAUCGCUACAGCCUCACGGAGACUGUGGGAAUUGAAAAUCAAGUCAGCUUUAGAAGAUGGACUGAGGUGAUGCACAUAAGAGGGCAGAGGAUUUGAAAUACCUGUUUUUCCUUCUACUGCACAUUGAACAAGCGGUUUCUGGGGCCUGUCGUGGAUGAGACUGAGAUCUCCUGGCUGAGCUAGUUCCAAGUUCAUCUCCAAUGCCAGCUGCUCAGCCUCGUCCAGACGGUGCUGCAGGUCCUUCACCGUCUGGUCCAGGUUCCUCUUCAUCCUCUCCAGGUGGGCGCUGGUGUCCUGCUCCUUCUUCAGCUCUUCUGCCAUCAUGGCUGCCUGGUUGCAGUGCACAGGUCAGCUUGCACUCUGUGUCUCUUUCCUUUUUAUGGCUGCUGCUGUUUUCUUUGCCUUGGGGGUUUCCUGCAGUGGUAAGUUGCCUCUUCAGCUCUUCAGUCUGCUGAGUGAAAGCAUGUUUGCCUCGAGUCAGCUGGGAAAUCAAGGACUCCUUCUCCUCCAGUUGCCGACUUCAGAGCGAGGUAGAGAAACCCCUGCUCAACUUCAGGGAGAACUUUAAGAAAGACAUGAAGAAGUGUGACCACCAUAUCGCAGACUUACGGAAGCAUCUGGCCAGCCGCUACGCAGCAGUCGAAAAGGUGCCUCUUGAGUUCCUCAAUCUGUUGGGUGAAUGCCUGCUUGCCUCUUGACAGCUGAGAAAUCAGAGCAUCUUUUUCCUCCACCUGACGUGAAUAUUCGCCUGGGAAAGGGAAAAAGGGGAGGACUCCACUUUCAUCACUGUUUUUCCUGAGGAGACAGGGACCAUAAAUGCUAGAGAAAUGCCUGACACUCUCAGCCUCUCCUACUUCACCUGAAUUCUCUUGUGAUUCUCCAACUAAAAGGUGUUUAUAGGAUGUCCAGACUACCAUCAUUGAUCAGUUGAGAACAUAUCAAAAUUACAAACCAAAAACAUUAGUGGUACUCACCGCCUGCACUUGGAGCUGCAGGUCAUUUUUCUCCUGCAGCAGUUUCACCAUUUUCUCCUCCAGCUCCUUCCUCUUUGCCUCAGACUUUGCAAGCUCUUCCUUCGUUUUCUCAAACUCCUCUUUCAUGUUGGCCAUCUCCUUCUCAGAUUCUGCACUCUUCAGCAAGGGCUUGAUCUUGAAGAAC